rnacentral:lncRNA from 1 species
AUUAUUUUGAUGAAUAUUUUUUUUGAAAUUUAUCUUCCAUUUGACAAAAAUGGUCCAUGAAGAAGCAAAGAAAUGAUGGGACACUUAGUUUAAGUAGUAUGCAGGAAUAUAUAUUGUUUUGAUGAAUAUUUUUGGGAUUUCAUUUUACUUUUGACCAAAAUGGCUUAUGAAGAAAUGAAGGGACACUUAGUUUCAGUAGCAUGCUAAAAGUUGAAAUCAUGUUUACAUACACACUCACACACAUUCAAAUAUUGUAUGUAUGAUUGUGGCUUCAUGGUUGAUUAUGACACUCUUGGCUUAAAUAUGCAAGUAGCUUAAGAAAGCAGUCCUGAAAAUUUUUUGUAACUAAGUAGCUAACUACUAGAACUAAUUCUAUAAUAUUCACAUGUUGGUCAUACACAUUGGUCUUACAUAUUUAAUCCUACUAAUAUUUACAUUUCAAGUUGUUAAGCAAUAUUAGAAUUUUUUUUAACUUUAAUGGCUGUAGAAAUCAUGUAUUUUUACCUUGUAAAACUUCUCUAGUCUAAUCAAGUGAGAAAUCAUUUUUUCUAUCUUCCUUUCUUCCGCUCACAUGGUGUUAGAGCCUGGAAAGAUAUUCUAAUCCUUUGCUGGAAAUUUUCUUUUAGCCUUCAUUGCCACAAUCCUUUCAUUACCAUUAUUUUCCUUCUCAAUCUUCUCUUUCUACCUAUUUGUUUUUUCAAUGGUGGAAAUUUCUAAAAAAACUCCUGCUGAAACAACCCAACAGCCUAUCCAUCACCCAUUAUGAUAGUCCAACCCUCCAAAUUACUCUUGAAAAACAUAAUGUUAGGAAUUUUCUUGGGUGUUCACAAGCUAUGCAACUUUUCCUUAAGAGUUGAGGAAAGAUAAGGUAUUUGCGUGGUACCAUUAAGGAACAAAAAAUCUCAGAUCCUUCUUUUACAUUAUGGGAAGCUGAAAAUUCUUAGGCCAUCUCAUGGUUGAUACUAUGUGCAACUUGAGAUCAAUAAACCUUUUCUAUUCCUUUCUACCGCCAAAGAAGUGUGGGAUGCGGGAUCUCGGAUAUAUUCCAAGAAUGGAAAUGUUUCUCAUAUGUUUGAAUUGAAGACAAUAAUUCACCAUACAAAGCAUAGAGAUCUCGUUGUGGCUACCUACUAUAACACUGGCAGUUUUAUGGCAGGAAUUGGAUUUGCAUCAACAUUUACAGAUGAAAGCACCAGAGGAUGUGGUGAUGCUGGCAGAGAUGUUGGAAUGAGAUUGAGCCUUUGGAUUUUUAGUCUAGCUCAAUCAUGAGUUUGAUGAGUUUGAUGAGCAUGGCAGGUUUGUAAGAAGCCUAAAUGCUACUUUUUUUGUGUUUAUCCCAAAGAAGAGAAGAGUAGAAGAUCUUAAGGAUGACGUGGUGUCGGGACACUUUGUGUGACUCUUUCCCCUCGUUGUAUGCCUUGGCGGCUUCAAAAGAGGCGUGGGUAGUGGAGGUUUGGGACACAUCGGGUGAGGAGGGGAGUUGAAAUCCUCGAUUCUCUAGGCCUUUCAAUGAUUGGGAGGUGGAGAUGGUAGAGAGAUUCCUUGUGACAUUACAAGGGAAGAGGGUGAUUGUUGACUUGGAGGAUAAGGUGCUUUGGAAAGAGACCAAGGAUGGGAAAUUUUCUGUUAAGUCUCUCUAUGGUGCAUUGGAACUUAGAAUUGCAGUCCCGUUUCCAAGGAGCAUCAUUUGGAGCCCUUGUGUUCCUACUAAGGUGGGCUUUUUUGCUCAAGAAGCUUUGUGGGGGAAGACUUUGACUUUGGAUCAACUAAAGAGGAGGGGGAGGUCCUUAGCUAAUAGAUAUUUCCUUUGUUGUGCUGAAGAAGAGUCUAUUAAUCAUAUUCUAAUCCAUUGUACCACGACUAGGGUUUUUUGGGAGUUAUUAUUUGCUCUUUUUGGUCUGACGUGAGUCCUCCCUUUGUUGGUUAGAGAGAGCCUUCUUGGUUGACAUGGUUCCUUUGUGAGCAAGAAGCGUAAAAUGCAUGGAUAAUAGAUCCCUUAUGUCUCUUUUAGACAAUUUGGAAGGAAAAGAAGAUCACCUUUGAUAAUGAAGAGCUUUCGAUUCAAAGGAUGAAAAAUUCUUUUGGUUGUAAUAUUUUGUCUUAGACUACGUUGUUUAUGAUUGGCUAGAUUCUAGAUGAGGGUGGGUAAGUUUUUGGUUUCCCUUUUUCUUUUUUGCUCUUGCCUUUAGGUGCUUGUUGUAUACUCUUUGUACGCUUUGGGUUGGCCUUUGGGCGCCCUUUAUUCAUUAUAUAUACUAUCUUUCUGUGCUUUCACCUAUAAAAAAAAAAAUAAAUAAAUAAAAAUAAAUAAAUAAAUAAAUAAAUAAAAUAAAAUAAAAAAGAUCUUAAGGAUGCCUAUAAGUUUUGUAGGAGGCCUUUAUAAAUUGUUGGCCAAUAUACUCAAGAAAGUUUUGGGUAAAGUUGCAUCUGAGUUUCAUAAUGCUUUUGUGGAGGGAAGACAAAUUCUGGAUGUGGUGUUAAUAGCAAAUGAGAUUGUUGAUUCAAAGUUGAAAAAAAGGGAAUGUGGGUUGUUGUGCAAGCUCAACAUUGAGAAGGCUUAUUUUUUAAUUGGGGCUUUUUGUUAGCAAUUCUUGCCAAGAUGGGAUUCAAGCAAAAAUGGCUAGAUUGGAUUAAGUGGUGAAUCUCUAUGGCCAGUGUCUCCGUUUUAGUUAAUGGCUUCCUCAUGGGUUUAUUCCGAAGUUUUAGGGGGUUGAGACAGGGGGGCCUCUCUCCCUCUAUCUGUUUGUGAUUGCUAUGGAGGCCCUUAGUAGUUUGCUUUUGAAAACCCGGGAUGUAGGUUUUCUUACGGGUUUUAAGGUAGGGGGAAGAGAGAGUGAGCUUGAGGAAAUCUCUCAUCUUCUUUUCACUUAGUAGGAAGUAGAUCAUAGAGUAAUUUUGGGAAUUGAUUAGUUGUAUAUUAGACUUUUUUCCCUUUAAUAGCUGUACAAAUCAUGUAUUUAUACCCAGUAAAACUUCUCCAGUCUUUUCAAGGAAUCGUUUUCCUUCUCUCUUCCUUUCUUCAACUCACACAAAUCUCUAAUAUGGCUAUGUUGCUAGUGAUAAUAUAAAUAAUAGAAUAAAAAUAUCGAAAGCUUUAUGUAUCCACAUGUUACUCGUUUUAAGAGUAUUCUUUUGAUAGGCAUUACUGGUUUUGAGAAUAUAUAUAAUUUGCAUGUUCAAUGAAAUUGUAUAGGAGAAUUCUUUGGUGUGGCUCAAAUGCCCUGUCAUUGGGCUCAGACCUCAAAAGUGUGACUAUCACAAGAGAUGCCUCAUACCUUGAGGGUUCUUUUGGCACCUUUCAUGCAAUCACUUUUCUUCAAGUGCUUCUAUACAGUUUAGACUAAUCAAUUCAUUUUCUAGCUUCUAUGUUCAGUGCAAUUGCCAUUGAUUUUUUUCUUUGCUUUUUUUAUUUUUAUUUUUUACUUUUUAUGUUCUUCAAAUGAACUGUAGCCUGUUUAAAUUUUAGGUGCAGCAUGUUAUUUAGCAUUCCUUGGAGACACUAGUGGUGGUUUUGAUUAUGUCCACCAGUUUUAUUUUUAAUGGGAUAUGGUGUUUUUUUAUCAGCAUUAUCAAGUUGUAAUAAUUAAUCUUUAUGUACUCAAUCAUGAUAGCUGAAGUAAGUAAGGCACCCAUUGCUGCUUCUGGGGUUGCAACUUCAGUUAAUGCAAAACCAGCUAAGGUUUCAAAGCUUUCUUCACAGAAGAAAGAUAGUGCUUCAGUCACAGCUUCUGAGAAAAAGGGUGUUGACCGUCCACCAGAGAAGGAUAGAAAGAAAGAUGUACCUCAUCCACGCAUGCAAUUUGAUGAUAAGAGUCGAGUGGAGAAGGCAAAAAGGCGUGCAGUAGUAAGGCCAAUUGAAGUUAGGAACAGAGUUGAGUUAUUUAGACAUUUACCUCAGUAUGAACGUGGAACUCUGCUUCCUGAUCUUGAGUCAAAGUUUUUCCUACUUGAUCCAAUGCAUCCUGCUGUUUACAAGGUAUUUCAUAGGAUUUUCUGUUUUAUUUUUGAGCCUGUGAUAGUGAUAUGCUCACAAGGUUAAAUUCAAUGAAAAAUACAAAGCAAUCAGUUUCUGGAAAAGCCGAACUCAAGUAAAAAUGUCUCAUUGCUUAUCAACAAAAAUAAGUCUUAUCCAAUCCAUAUGAUGUUAGAUGCCUAAAUUUAGAGCCACUGUUCCAUUCUAUGUUGGACUCAUAUGAUUGUUGACCCCAGAUGUCCAAAAUCAGAUAUGGAUGGUUAUUGAGCCCUUAGCUUUAGAUCCACUCUGUAAACAAGGUCAAACAUGUACUCUGUCUAAUUAUGAAUUUUAAUUUUCAUUAGGUUGGCUUACAGUAUUUAGCAGGAGACGUAUCUGGUGGCAAUGCUCGUUGUAUUGCAAUGCUUCAGGCAUUCCAAGAGGCCAUCAAAGACUAUUCCACUCCACCUGAAAAAACUCUUGUCAGAGACUUAACUGCUAGAUUAAGCAGUUAUGUUUCAUUUCUAAUUGAGUGCAGACCCCUUUCAAUAAGCAUGGGAAAUGCAAUUAGGUUUUUAAAAAGUCGAAUUGCCAAGUUACCUUUAUCUUUGUCUGAGUCUGAAGCGAAAGCAAGUCUUCAGUCAGAUAUCAAUCGGUUUAUAAACGAGAAGAUAGUACUUGCGGACAAAGUAAUAGUCAGGCAUGCUGUAACAAAAAUCAGGGAUGGGGAUGUCCUACUUACAUAUGGGUCUUCCUCUGCUGUUGAGAUGAUACUAUUGUAUGCCCAUGAGCUCGGCAAACAGUUUCGUGUUGUUGUAGUGGACUCUCGUCCAAAGCUUGAAGGGCAACUCUUACUUCGAAGAUUGGUGGGAAAAGGCCUUAGCUGCACAUACACCCAUAUAAAUGCUGUUUCAUAUAUCAUGCAUGAAGUUACUCGAGUUUUCCUUGGGGCUUCAUCUGUGUUGUCCAAUGGAACAGUUUACUCGAGGGUUGGGACUGCAUGUGUUUCUAUGGUUGCUCAUGCAUUCCGAGUUCCAGUGUUAGUAUGUUGUGAAGCAUAUAAAUUUUAUGAGAGAGUACAGCUUGAUUCGAUUUGCUCUAAUGAACUUGGUAUGCAUUUCCAGCUCUAGUUGAUAUUGGUGUUAUUUUAUGAUUGGCAUCAUGUUCUCCAUUGCUUUAUAGUUCAGAUAUUUUGAUUGACUCCUUGUAGGUGAUCCUGAUGCAAUUUCAAAAGUUCCUGGUAGGGAGGAAAUUAACUAUUUGGAUGAUUGGGCGAAGAGUGAAAAUUUGCAGCUUUUGAAUCUGAUGUAAGUGUUUAGGGUUUAAACGAUAGGGGACCCACACUUAUUUGUUCACCCCCACUUACCAUACAAGCGCCUUUUUUUGGAUUUUUGUUUACAGAUAUGAUGCAACACCUUCAGAUUAUGUUUCGAUGAUUAUAACAGAUUAUGGCAUGGUAAGUCAUAUUAAUAUUAAAAUUUUAUGUUUCAUACUUUUGAGAAAACACGCUUUAUUUAUCCUUAGUUUUCCAAGAGUAACCUGAUCUCUCAGUUAUUUACUAGUCCUAAAGUGUGCAUGAAUCAAUACCCCUUUGGACCGGGGCUCUCUGGUCCAACAUUAACCUUUUCUUUCCUUUGACAGCUUAAGUUAUUUAUAUUUUGCUUGAUAAUUGGUGUUCCGAUAUUAAAAUGAAGAUUAGAUUUGGAUCUUUUAAUAGUUUCAUUCAGGGUUGCGAUAAUGUUUUAGUUUUUUUGUAGUUUAGGAGGAAAUAAAACAUAUGCAGAACCCCUUUUUCGAAUUUUCCUCUUUGGUUAUGGGGCAGGAGGAUAGUACUAUCCUUUCAAGAAUGGUGGUUGUUAGUCUCUUUAUUCAUAUGAUUGUCUGCCAUUGAAAAAUAGAAAGGAAAAAGAAUAUAAAGUUCUGUGCUCUCCUUGAUUGUGGAAGUACUAGCUUCUGGCAGCUUUCCUGUCUGCAAUAUGAGAAUUUUAGGAUCUAAACCUUUUUGUGUUCAGAGGAUCUACCCCAUUUUCAGCGUCUUUUCUCUUUUCUAUAGCUUUUGUUGCAUGCACAGUUAUUAGAUAGGUCAUGGGACAGUGGCUGUAAGUUUAAAUUUGCUCUAUUUCCAUGAUGUAACUCAAUAUCUAUGGUACUUGGACUCUCCCAACAUACCCAUGUCUACACAACAUGGUAUGAGUGUGGCUGUGGGAUCCUUGUUGGAUGCUCCGACUUUGCUUCAAAUAUGACUAUUUGAUUUUAAUUUACUUAUUGAUUUUAUUUUCAACUUCCUUCGCACAUUAUUACAUUGAAAGAAGAGAGAAUUUAAGAAUAUUUAGGAAUAAAAAAAAGAUAAAAUUAAAAUAUAAAAGAUAGGAAGUUCUUAUCAAAAAUAUUUUUAUUUCUAAUUGAUUUCUUAUUAUUUUUUCAGCUUAUCCCUGUAUCCAUUUCAUAUCUAAAUUUUGAAUCCUGUUUAACAGGUUUAUUGUAUCCUAAAAUUUGGAGUCAAAAGAAUCUAACUCCUAGAUAUAUAUAUAUACCCACAUCUGACACUGUCCAAGCAAAGAUAACUCAAGUACUUAAAUAAUAUCUUCUGAGGAUAGUAUAGUAUAGUUUUAAGACAGAAUACUCAUGCUUGUAUUCUAUGCCUUGCUUCUUUGUUUUGUUUUUGCAUUUCGUAGUUUGGAAAGGUGGAAGGCACAACCUAAGGCAUGCCCCUAAGCCAAGUGAGGAGCAACUAAAGGUGGAUGUGAAUUUUUUAAAGUACUUUAAAUUUGUACAUGCAAGCAUUAAGCAUCCCCUCGUAUAUCAUGCCAAAUAUAAUUUAGAAUUCUAAUCCAAGUAAAAAAUAAUAAUAAUAAUAAUAAUCAUCAUCAAGAUUUCAAACAUUUAAAAAAACAUUGAAUAAAAAAUUAGUGUGAUUAUAUAAAAUUUCAAUAUACAAUUAAAAAUUGCAAGAAUAAUAAAAUAUAAAAUGAUAAGUAGAAAAUAUAUGAGGAUACCUAUCUAACAAGGUAAUUGCUCCUCUUACAGCUGGGGAGUUGUUGUGCCUUGAGCCUUGGCUUGGCUAUACAACUAUGAUGGAUUUGUUUUUCGGUUUAAACCAUUUUAGUUUUUUUGUGCUUCUUACAGGUCCCACCUACAAGUGUGCCUGUGAUUGUGCGAGAGUACCGGAGAGAGCACUUGUGGAUAUAGAUGGGUCAAAUGAUUCACGAGGCUUUUCAAUUUUUUGUUCCCAUGCUGAGAUCCAUCUUCCCAGCUGUUGCAGACAGGACAAUAAGUGUGGAAGAAUUUUCUUGUUAUGUCAUUUCUUCUUAGAUCUCCUUCCCUCUGGAAUAAUUCGUUCUGGUUUUGGAAUUUUCCUUUUCACCUGACUCAGUGAAGAGUGCGAUUCCUUCGCCUCUCCGGGCAGUUUUAGGGAUGCUACUACCGUAUGUUGUAACGAGUUUUUCCUUGGGUUGUAGACAAUGGUUUCAUAUCACAUGCAAGAAUUUUCUUGCAGGGAAAAAAAAAAUGUGUUUUUAGGUUCUAAAAUCUACCUUUUGGAACAUGUGGGUUCUGGUAAGUGCCUUGUUUAGCUGAUUCUAAAACAAAAUCCUCAGUUCCAAAUCCAUGGAACUGAGGCUGUGUGCCUGCACAUGUUACCAAAAUAUCCAUACACGCCACAACCCAUGAACCCUAAUCCCUGAUCCCUGAUCCCUGAACAGAAACACCAAAGGUCCUGACUUCUAAUGCCCAUUUAAAAAACAUGUUUUAGCAAGCUGUACUUGUGGAAAAAAGCCUCGAACUGGCACCAACUCUCAAGGAAUCAAUCACAUUUUCUCUUGGAGAUUUGCACAAUGUUUAAGUAAUCUCUAGUUAGAGAUCCCAUAUCCUAAUCAUAAAUGUCUAGCUAGCGACUGAAGCAGGGGUUUAAAAUUGUCAUUGUUCUUCAUUCUUGUUACAUGUCUGCUAUCAUCUUAUAUUGGUCUCCACUAAAGCUCCAAUUUCCCUUUUUCUUCCCUUCAGCUUUAUCCAUUAGCCUACGGCAGAAGUUUGAGGGGCAAAACGAAGUGUCACAUUUGAAUUGACUGUUAAAAUUUGUUUCCUUGUCCGCCUCCUUCCCAUUUAUGUUAUGCCCUUUAUAUCUAUUGUGGGCAUGAUCUGUUAUGCAGCAGUCUUUAGUAGUUGCCUUUGUGAAACUCAGCACUUUAGGGACAGGGUAGGUGUUUCGCAAUGCUCUAGUUUAAAGAAACAGGUUACGAGUUUUAUUCCCAAAUGUCGGAUUGUGGAAAAGAGAUGUAUAUGGAAUGGGAAGCAAAAUAAAUUUCCAAUCUGCCAGGAACAAAACAGCAUUUUGAGGAUAUGGUUCAGAAGUAGUUGCAAAUAAAUGAAAUGAGAUUGGUGAUGCUGAAGAGAUAAGGUUUCUGAGGUUUGAAAUGUGUUUUGAUGGUAAAUGACAUGCGGUAAAGGAGCGAUGGCUGAAGGUGGAAGGAGAGUGAUGGAUUGAGGCGGCAAAAAUAGUUGUAGAAGUGAAAAUAAAAAGGAAAAUAUAUGUUUAGCAAUUAAAAAUUUUUAUUUUAAAAACAGAAAACAAUGUGACCCAUUUAUUUUUUCAAGCAAUUUUCUAUUCUUAAGAUAAUAAUAAUAAUAAUAAUAAUAAUAAUAAUAAUAAAUAAGGUAUUUUCAAGAGAUAUUUUUUAGUUAUUUUUAGUUAUUUUCUCUUGUUUUAUGAGUUUAGAAAAUAUCUUUUAAUUAUUUUCACUUUGUUUUUUAAGUAACAAAUGCUCUAUUCCAUAUCAUUCCACCCAAACAUAUUUGUUAUUUCACUAAUGAUCAUUUAAUUCUUUGGGCGUUUUUCAAAAAUAAUUAUAAAAAUAUAGAAAAUGAAUAAAAAUUAUUUUUAAAACGUAUUUAAAAACAUAGAAAAUAAGUUAAAAACAUUUUAUAUUCUCAAAUAAAUUUUUAUUCUAUAAAACAUCAUAGAAUAAUUUCCAAAAACUGUUUUCAAAAUCUAUUUUUUAGAAUUGUUUUUAAAACACUUGCCAAACAAAGCUAGUGUUUUAUGAGAACAUCUUUUAAUUGUUUUAACUUGUUUUCAAAGAGUUAUUUUAAAAAAUAAUCAUACAAAUUUAGAAAAUGAUUAAAAAUAAGGUAUUAUAAAUAAAAAUUAUUUUUAAAAAAUUACUUAAAACCACAAAAAAUAAAUUAAGUGUUGGUACUCAACCCUUCUUGAUGUGAUGGUCCAUUAAUUAUCCAGGCUGCUAAAUUUUUCUAAGUGUCAACUCUUCAGUUGAUGGGUGCCUCGGCUAAAAAGGGUCUUUCCCAUCUGUUGUUCUUUUUCUUCCUUUAUAGGUUUCCCAAACCAAAUCUUGAUUGGCCAAAUGAGUCAACUUUCUCUUGGGGAAAUGACAUGUCGAGAAUCAAACGUUGGAGGUUUCAUGAUGCUUAUUGUUAUCCUAAGGGUUCUCCUAAUUGCGUUUUGAUGAUAACAAACCAUGGUUAAGUUGCUAAUUGGUUUGAAUCAUAAAGAAUUUCAAGUGUUAGUUUGGAAAUUCAUCAAAUGACCCAAUUGAUGCAAGAUCAAGACAAUUGGAAGACCCUUCAAUCAUAUGAAACAUAUGUAAUAUGAAUGCAUGAGUGCACUUAGGAUUUUCAUAUCUUUUCAUGCAUCUUUAAAACUCGGUUUAUGCAUUAAAACUACAUUUCCAUCUAAACUCAAGUUUUAAUGAACCUUAGGAAAAUCAUUUCAAAAUUGGCAUAUUAAUUUACCUAAAGCCUUUGUCUAAGUGUUAGAAAGGAAAAAAAAACAUAAAAAGAUAGGUUUUCGGGCUAAAAAUUGUGAACUGGUCAAGACACUAGCCAACCAGCUCAACCGACUAAGGUAUUGGUCGAGGUCCGAUUAAGAGAUGCAAAAAAUAUUUUUUCUCUUCUAGUAGCCUUGCAUUCCCGGUCGAGGGACAUGCCUUCCCGGUCGAGGUUCGAUCAAGGCUAACAGUCACCUGCCAAGCAUUAAAUGCUCUAAUGGCUAGUCAACCGGUCGACUCCCAACUCAACUGACCGAGGCUACUUUUUGGCAUUUUGGCUCCUGAGGCUAGAAACCUAUAAAUUAAGAGCUCCACUUCAUUUAUGAGCAAGAGAACACUUGUAUUUAUUUGUUUACUUACUUGUUCUUACCUUAAAAGCUCUCAUUAUUUCCUUGGUGCAUUGAAUCUUCAUUUGCAUAUUCUUUAGUGCACCUUUGUGAUUCAUCCUAGUUUUGAGUUGUAUUUGAGUCAUUGUUGAGCUAGGUUGAGAGAUUUGAACUUUUCAUUUGAGUGUUAGAAGUUUCAAGUGAGUAGAGACUUGAAGGGAUUGUGUAAGAGGCCAUUGGAGCUGAAAUCCAAGUGUAAAGGUAUUGUAAGCUUGGUUGAAGCUUCAAGUAUAGUGUAACUCUCACUCGGUUAGGAACUUGAGGAGAGUGGACGUGGGCAAAGGGUGUCGAACUAUUAUAAAAUCUGAGUUUGCUUCCUCUAACCUUAUCUCUUUAUAUUUGUGCUUUCUUUGCUUGAAUUUGUUGUGUUUGAAAAAAAAAAAUUAAAAACCUAAUUCAUCCUUUCCUCUCUUCCCUUUUGGGUGUUUUCUUUAUUAAGAUUAACAUUUAUUUUCUCAAUUGGUAUUAGAGCUAAGCAUCUUGUUUAAAAUUUAAUCGUCUAAGAGGAAAUGGUUAAUCCAUCAAGCUCAUUUUACAUUGAAAGUUUUGCAACCAAUAAACCUCCAUUUUUUACGAGAACUGAUUAUCCUUAUUGGAAAACUAAAAUGAGUUGGUUUUACAAUCAACCGAUUUAGACUUAUGGGAAAUCAUUAAAGGUGACCUAACUUUUCCUUCAGAACUAAUUGAUGGAGUCAUGGCUCCAAAACCCAAGCAAGAAUGAGAUGAGUGCGAUAGAAGAAAUUUCCAAUUAAAUGCUAAGGCUUUUUAUACUUUACAAUGUGAUAUGGAUAGAAAUGAAUAUAAUAGAAUUUGCAAUGCAAAUCAACUAAAGAAAUUUGGAGAUUACUUGAAAUAACUCAUGAAGGAACAAAUCAAGUUAAAGAGUCAAAAAUCAAUGUACUUGUUAGUUAUGAAUUAUUUUUUAUGAAAGUUAAUGAAACUAUUGUUGAGAUGAUCACCAGGUUCACUGACAUUGUCAAUGGUCUUGAAACUUUGGGAAAAACCUACAAGGAAUCAAAGAAGGUGAUGAAGAUCUUGAGGUCACUUCCAUCAAAGUAGGAUACAAAGAUCACUGCAAUUCAAGAAGCCAAAGACUUGACCAAGCUUCCUUUGGAGGAGCUUAUAGGGUCAUUGAUGACCUAUGGGAUCAAUUUGGCAAAGAAACAAUAAAAAUGGGAAGACAAAAAGAAGAAAAACAUAGCUCUUAAAUCUACAACUAAGGAAGAGAAAGAAGUUGAAAAAGAAAAACAAAGUAAAGAAGAUGAAGACUUAGCCCUAAUCACAAGAAAUUUCAACAAGUUCAUGAGGGAUAAAAAGUUUAAAGAAAGAAGGUUCACUUUUAGAAGAAACUUCUUUAAAAAUGAAUCUUCAUCCUAUGGUGACAAUGAGAGAUGAGAAGGGAAAAGAGACUUAGUGUGCCUCAAGUGCAAGAAACCGAGACACAUUAAAUAUGAUUGUCCUCUCUACAAAACUGAAACCAAGAGAAGAAAGAAGAAGACAAUGAUGGUCACUUGGAGUGAAAGUGAAGAUGAAUCAUCUGAAGAAGAAAAUGAGAAAAAAAGUGGAAAACAUGUGUUUCAUGACAAUAGACGAACUUGAUAAGGUAAACUCUAACAUGAGCGAUGAAAAUAUAUAUGAUGUUUUCAAGAAUUGUACGAGGAUUUUGAAAAACUUGGUUUGAAAAAUAUUUUUCUCAAAAAGAAAGUUCAACAACUUGAAAAAGAACUAAGAGCAGUAAAAGAAAAAUUUUCAAAUGUUGAUGAUUUUAAAACUUAUAUUGAAAAAGAGAAUGAGUUUUUAAGAAAGAAAAAUGAAUGGUUGACCUCCUCUCUUUCAAUAUUCUCUUGUGGACAAAUUUUUUUUUUUUUUAAAUGAUUCUAGCUAGCCAAAAAUAUAUUUUUCAAAAAAAAAUGGCUAGGAUUCAAAUAUUUAAAGAAUCAAAAGUAUUUUAAGAACUAUUUCGUAAAGGAAUCCACAAGUGCAAGUCCUUUCACUACUUGCAAAUUUUGUGGAAAAAGAUGACACAUUAGUAACACAUGCCUUUUAAGAAAAGGUUUUCAAAAGAAUUUAAAUGCAAAAACUAAAAAGAUUUGGGUUGAAAAAUCCAAGGUCGCCAACCCUGAAAGACCCAAGAAGAUAUGAGUACUUAAAUCAACUUGAGUUAUGUGUCAUAGGGUUCAAAGAAGGAUAAAUGGUUCUUGAAUAGUGGAUGCUCAAUACACAUGAUCGGAGAUGAAUCCAAGUUUGCUUUUCUUACAAAGAAAAAUGAAGGAUAUGCUACCUUUGGAGACAAUGCAAAAAAGAAAGAUCAUUGGUCAAGGCAACAUUGGUAAUGACACAUCUUCUCUAAUUGAAAAUGUUUUAUUAGUAGAUGAUUUAAAACACAAUCUUUUAAGCAUUAGUCAAUUUUGUGACAAAUGUUUUAAAGUGAUUUUUGAAACAACUCAUUGCAUUAUCAAGGAUAUUCAAAAUAAAAAAACCAUCUUCAUGGGCCAUAGAUGUGAUAAUGCUUGCACUAUAAAUAUUUCAAAAUAUGAUGGUCAUGAUAAAUGAUUUUCAAGCAUGCAUGAUCAAAGUUAGUUGUGACAUAGGAGGUUGGGACAUGCUAACAUGGACCUCAUUUCCGAACUCAACAAAGAUGAACUUGUUAGAGGUCUUUCCAAAAUAAAUUUUCAAAAAGAUAAAGUUUGUGAAGCUUGUCAAGUGGGAAAGCAAAUCAAAAACUCUUUUAAAAACAAAAAACUUUAUUUCCACAACUAGGCCACUUGAGUUAUUGCAUAUGGGUUUAUUUGGUCUCUCUAGGACACCAAGUCUUGGAUGAAAGUCUUUUGCUUAUGUUAUUAUGAAUGACUUAUCUAGAUACACAUGGGUCUUAUUUUUAAGUAAAAAAAAAAUGAAACUUUUUAUGAGUUUUUAAAGUUUUGCAAUAAGGUUCAAAAUGAAAAAGGUUUUGGAAUUACUUGUAUAAGAAGUGAUCAUGGAAGAGAAUUUGAAAAUGUUGAUUUUGAAAAUUAUUGCAAUAAGAAUGGAAUUGACUACAAUUUUUCAGAUCGUAGAACUCCUCAACAAAAUAGGGUAGUUGAAAGGAAAAAUAUAACCAUUUAAGAGAUGGUAAGAACCAUGCCAAAUGAAAACAACCUACCAAAAUAUUUUUAGGCUGAAGCAAUUAACACGUCUAGUUAUGUUUUAAAUAGAGUUUUAUUAAGGCCCAUACUUAAAAAAACUCCCUAUGAGCUUUGGGAAAACAAGAAACCCAACAUUAGCUAUUUCAAAGUCUUGGAUGUCAAUUGAUAGCAUGAACUUUGAUUUAUUUGUUGCUAUUUCUUUAGGAGAUUCUGUUGUGGUUAAUAAAAUACUUAGAGAUUGUUGUGUGAUGAUUAGGUAUAGAGAUAUGACAGUUGACUUAGUACUUCUUGACCUUUAGGAUUUUGAUGUGAUUUUGGGGAUGGAUUGGUUAGCUUCAUACCAUGCAUCUAUUGAUUGUUUUGGGAAAAGAGUGACAUUUAGCAUUCCUAGUCAGCCUGAUUUUAGUUUUGAGGGGAAGCAUGUGGACAAACCACUACGUAUGAUCUCAGCCUUGCGAGCUAGUUCUUUACUUAGGAAAGGUUGUCAAGGCUUUUUGGCUUAUGUUGUGAAUGAGGAAAAUGAUUUAAAGUUGGAAGACAUACCCAUUGUAAGAGACUAUCCUGAUAUCUUUCCAGAUGAUCUACCUGGCUUGCCACCAGAGAGGGAGGUGGAGUUCACCAUUGAUUUGGCACCAAAGACAACUCCUAUCUCUAAGGCCCCUUACAGGAUGACACCUAUGAAGCUUAAGGAGUUGAAGAUUCAACUUCAGGAGUUGUUAGAUAAGGGCUUCAUUAGGCCUAGUGUUUCACAUUGGGGAUCUCCUGUUUUAUUUGUAAAGAAGAAUGAUGGAUAUAUGAGACUCUACAUUGAUUAUAGAGAGUUGAAUAAGGUGACAAUGAGGAACAAGUAUCCCCUUCCUCGGAUUGAUGAUUUGUUUGAUCAACUUCAGGGUGCAUGUGUGUUCUUUAAGAUUGAUCUUCGGUAUGGUUAUCAUCAUUUAAGGGUUGGAAGUGAAGAUGUACCCAAGAUUGUUUUUCGAACUAGAUAUGGACAUUAUGAAUUUUUGGUUAUGCCUUUUGGUUUGACUAAUGCACCUGCUGUUUUUAUGGACUUAAUGAAUAGGGUAUUCAAGCCCUAUCUAGAUCAAUCUGUGGUGGUUUUUAUAGAUGAUAUUUUGGUGUACUCAAAUAGUAGGGAGGAACAUGAGCGCCAUUUGAGUAUUGUAUUGUAGACUCUUAGAGAUAAGCAAUUGUAUGAUAAACUAAAGUGUGAUUUCUGGUUAGACAAAGUCUCUUUCCUUGGGCAUGUGGUGACUAAGGAUGACAUCUCUAUUGACCCUGGAAAGAUAGAUGUUGUGUCAAAUUGGAGGAGACCUAAUACUGUGACCGAGAUUCGAAGUUUCUUAGGACUGGCUGGUUAUUAUAGGCGGUUUAUUUAGGGGUUCUCUAAGAUCGCCCUACAUCUGACCAGGUUGACUUAGAAAGGGGUUAAGUUUGAGUGGUUUAAUGAUUGUGAAUGUAGUUUUCAAUAGUUAAAGAACAAAUUGGUGACAACUCCUAUUUUGACUAUCUCUUCAGGCUUAGGAAGGUUUGUGGUGUACAGUGAAGUCUCUCGUCAGGGUUUGGUUUGUGUUCUUAUGCAACAUGGGAAAGUUGUAGCUUAUGCUUCUAGACACUUAAAGCCUUAUAAAUGAAAUUAUCCUACUCAUGAUUUGGAGUUAACUGUAAUGAUUUUUGCAAUUAAGAUCCGGAUUUCUUUUUGGUGAAACUUGUGAGAUAUUCACAGAUCAUAAGAGUUUGAAGUAUUUAUUUUUCCAAAAGGAAUUGAACAUGAGACAGAGGAGGUGGAUUGAACUACUUAAAGACUAUGACUACAUUAUUUAGUAUCACCGACGGAAUGCGAAUGUUGUGGCUGAUGCCUUGAGCAGGAAAUCUGUUGGUUCCUUAGUAGCUAUUAGAGGUUGUCAGAGUCAAUUAUUAGAAGAUUUGAGGAGUUUACAAGUCCAUAUAAGAGUUUUGGACUCGGGAGCUCUUGUGGUGAACUUUAGAGUGCAACCAAACUUGGUUAGGAGAAUUAAGACCCUAUAAAAGAAUGAUAUGCAAUUAGUGCAACUUAUAGAGGAAGUUAAGAGAGGUAGUAAGCCUGAAUUUGUCUUAUCAGAUGAUGAGAUUUUGAGAUUUGGGACUAGACUUUGUGUCCCAAAUGAGGAAGAUUUAGGGAGAGAGCUAUUGGAGGAAGCUCAUUGUCCUAAGUUUACGAUCCACCUAGGAGGGACGAAAAUGUAUAGAGAUUUGAAGCAAAAUUAUUGGUGGCCAGGUAUGAAGCGAGAUAUUGCAAGAUUUGUGGCUCAAUGUUUGGUGUGCCAACAGGUGAAAGCAAAGCAUCAACGACCAACAGGAUCAUUACAACCUUUCUAUUCCUGAAUGGAAAUGGGAACAUAUUACCAUGAACUUUGUGACAAGGUUGCUAAGAACUUUAGGGGGUAAUAAUGCUAUUUGGGUAAUUGUGGAUCGAUUGACAAAGUCUGCUCAUUUUCUGCCUAUGAAAGUCAAAUUUUCUAUGGAUUAUUUGGUUUCUCUAUAUAUUAAGGAGAUUGUGAGAAUGCAUGGUGUACCUGUUUCUAUAGUAUCUGACAGAGAUCCUCGUUUCACUUCUAGAUUUUGUCAUAGUUUACAAAAAACAUUAGGUAUGAAGUUGAGUUUUAAUAUUGUUUUUCAUCCGCAGACUGAUGGUCAAUUAGAGAGAGUAAUUCAGGUCUUAGAAGAUUUGUUGAGAGCUUGUGCUUUGGACCUAAAAGGUAAUUGGGAUGAUUAUUUGCCCCUAGUAGAGUUUGCUUAUAAUAAUAGCUUUCAAGCUAGCAUUGGGAUGACACCUUUUGAGGCGUUAUAUGGUAGGAGAUGUCGAUCUCCUGUUUGUUGGGAUGAUGUUGGAGAGAAGAAACUUUUGGGGCCUGAACUUGUGCAGUUGAUUGUUGAAAAGGUCUCUUUAAUUAAAAAAAAGAUUGAAAACAGCACAAAGAAGACAAAAGAGUUAUGUUGAUAAUCGCAAACGAGAUUUGGAAUUUGAGGUGAGUGAUCAUGUUUUCUUGAAAGUUUCAUCUAUGAAGCUUAUAAUGAGAUUUGGAAGAAAAUGGAAACUCAGUCUUCGUUUUGUGGGACCAUUUGAGGUAUUAGAAAGAAUAGGCACUUUAGCUUAUAAAGUGGUUUUGCCUCCAAGUCUAUCUAAGAUUCAUAAUGUAUUCCAUGUUUCGACUUUGAGGAAAUAUAUUUAUGAUCUCUCUCAUGUUUUGGAGUUGGAGCCUAUUCAAAUUUUUGAGGACUUAACCUAUGAAGAUGUAACGACGCGCUCCCAACCGUGUGGAUAUUGUCCGCUUUGGACCCAAAGGGGCCUUAAAACGUUUCUACUUGGUUAAAAGGAACCUCUACAUAUAUAGCGCCAAGAACUUUCUCCUAUAUCCGAUGUGGGACAUCACAAACACCUUCUCCCCCCCAUGCAGAUACAACGUCCUCGUUGUGUCCUAUGGGAUUAUGGGGCCAAACAAACCCUCACACCGAGGUUGGAUAUCGGCUCUAAUACCAUUUGUAAUGACUCGCUCCUAACCUUGUAGAUAUUGUCCGCUUUGGACCCAAAGGGGUCCUCAUGACUUUAAAACGUGUCUACAGGGUUACGAUGAGUCCAUACUUAUAUAGCGUCAUAAACUUUCCCUCAUAUCCGAUGUGGGAUGUCACAAACACCCCCUCAUGCAGACACAACGUCCUUGUUGUGUCCCACGGGAUUAUGGAGCCAAAUAGACAAACACCCUUACGGGGUCAAACAAAUCCCACACCGAGGUUAGGAUCGGCUUUGAUACCAUUUGUAACGACCCGCUCCCAACCAUGUAGAUAUUGUCC